AGGUGAACCUGCGGAAGGAUCAUUACUGAUUUGCUUAAUUGCACCACAUGUGUUUUUCUUUGAAACAAACUUGCUUUGGCGGUGGGCCCAGCCUGCCGCCAGAGGUCUAAACUUACAACCAAUUUUUUAUCAACUUGUCACACCAGAUUAUUACUAAUAGUCAAAACUUUCAACAACGGAUCUCUUGGUUCUCGCAUCGAUGAAGAACGCAGCGAAAUGCGAUACGUAAUAUGAAUUGCAGAUAUUCGUGAAUCAUCGAAUCUUUGAACGCACAUUGCGCCCUCUGGUAUUCCGGAGGGCAUGCCUGUUUGAGCGUCGUUUCUCCCUCAAACCGCUGGGUUUGGUGUUGAGCAAUACGACUUGGGUUUGCUUGAAAGACGGUAGUGGUAAGGCGGGAUCGCUUUGACAAUGGCUUAGGUCUAACCAAAAACAUUGCUUGCGGCGGUAACGUCCACCACGUAUAUCUUCAAACUUUGACCUCAAAUCAGGUAGGACUACCCGCUGAACUUAAGCAUAUCAAUAAGCGGAGGAGGUCA
rnacentral:rRNA from 1 species